rnacentral:rRNA from 1 species
GACGAACGCUGGCGGCGUGCUUAACACAUGCAAGUCGAACGGAAAGGCUCCAGCUUGUUGGAGUUUUCGAGUGGCGAACGGGUGUGUAACACGGGGGUAAUCUUCCCUGCACUCUGGGAUAAGCCUGGGAAACUGGGUCUACUACUGGAUAUGAGCUUUCUCAUUAUGGGGUUCGGCGGAACGUUUGUCGGUGUAGGAUGGGUCCGCGGCCUAUCUGCUUGUUGGUGGAGUGAUGGCCUACCACGGCGACGCCGGGUAGCCGGCCUGAGAGGGGAAUCGGCCACAUGAGGACUGAGAUACGGCCCAGAGUCCAACGGGAGACAGCAGUGGGGAGUAUUGCACAAUGAGCGGAAGCCUGAGGCGGCGACGCCGCGUGAGGGAUGAAGGCCUUCUGGUUGUAAACCUCUUUAAGCAGAGACGAAGCGUAAGUGACGGUACCUGCAGAAGAAGCACCGGCUAACUAUGUG